rnacentral:rRNA from 1 species
AGGUGCCGCAGCUAACGCAUUAAGUAUUCCGCCUGGGGAGUACGCACGCAAGUGUGAAACUCAAAGGAAUUGACGGGGACCCGCACAAGCAGCGGAGCAUGUGGUUUAAUUCGAAGCAACGCGAAGAACCUUACCAGGUCUUGACAUGCAGAUGACCGACUCUUAAUCGAGUCUUUCCUUCGGGACAUCUGACACAGGUGGUGCAUGGUUGUCGUCAGCUCGUGUCGUGAGAUGUUGGGUUAAGUCCCGCAACGAGCGCAACCCUUACUUUUAGUUGCCAUCAGGUAAUGCUGGGCACUCUAAAGGGACUGCCGUGGACAACACGGAGGAAGGUGGGGAUGACGUCAAAUCAUCAUGCCCCUUAUGAUCUGGGCUACACACGUGCUACAAUGGUCGGUACAACAGGCAGCGAAAGGGUGACCUGGAGCUAAUCCUCUAAAGCCGAUCUCAGUUCGGAUUGUAGGCUGCAACUCGCCUACAUGAAGUUGGAGUUGCUAGUAAUCGUGGAUCAGAAUGCCGCGGUGAAUGCGUUCCCGGGUCUUGUACACACCGCCCGUCACACCAUGGAAGCUGGGGGCGCCCGAAGCCCGUGAUCCAACCCCUUUGGGGAGGAAGCGGUCGAAGGUGAAAUCAGUGACUAGGGUGAAGUCGUAACAAGGUAGCCGUAUCGGAAGGUGCGGCUGGAUCA